rnacentral:rRNA from 1 species
GAAAAGAAACUACAAGGAUUCCCCUAGUAACUGCGAGUGAAGCGGGAAGAGCUCAAAUUUGAAAUCUGGCAGUUCUUGAACUGUCCGAGUUGUAAUCUAGAGAAGUGUUACCUGUGCUGGACCGUGUACAAGUCUUCUGGAAUGGAGCAUCACAGAGGGUGAGAAUCCCGUCUUUGACAUGGACUACCUGUGCGAUAUGGUGCGCUCUCAAAGAGUCGAGUUGUUUGGGAAUGCAGCUCAAAAUGGGUGGUAAAUGCCAUCUAAAGCUAAAUAUUGGCGAGAGACCGAUAGCGAACAAGUACCGUGAGGGAAAGAUGAAAAGAACUUUGGAAAGAGAGUUAAACAGUACGUGAAAUUGCUGAAAGGGAAACGCUUGAAGUCAGUCACGUCGGCUAGAAAUCAACCUUGCUUUUGCUUGGUGUACUUUCUGGUUGAUGGGUCAGCAUCAAUUUUGACCAUCGGAUAAAGUCAUUGGGAAUGUGGCAUCUUAGGAUGUGUUAUAGCCCGGUGUUGCAUACGGUGGUUGGGAUUGAGGAACUCAGCACGGCCGAAAGGCCCAGGAGAGUUUACUCCAUGUUCGUGCUUAGGAUGCUGGCAUAAUGGCUUUAAUCGACCCGUCUUGAAACACGGACCAAGGAGUCUAACAUGCCUG